AAAUAUGACUCUGGGAGUGAGCUUUGAGGUUUCAAAAGCCCAUGCCAGGCAAGGUCUCACUUUCAUACUACCUCCAACUUAGCAAUAGGAUGAAAGCUCCCAGCUGCUCCUUCAGCACCAUGCCUACUUGCCUGCUGUCACACUUCCUGCCAUGAUGGUUAGGAACUAAUAUUUUCCCUGGAACUGUGAUCAAGUCCCCAGUUAGAAGACUUUCUUUCCUAAGUGGCCUUGGUUGUAACUGAGACUCAGGGAGUAUGUAUUUUGGGCCAAAUUAUUUUGCUGCUUUUGAGAUCGACUUUCUCAGAUUUUCCCAUGAGUCCAUCUUUUCGUACUGGGUCUGGAAAUUAUCUUGUACAUUUAUGUAAACAUGACUGUGCUCAUGAUAUGGGGUCUGUUUCUUCCUGGGCAAGCUGACAAAAAUUUCUUCUUACAGAGACAUGAAGUAUGUUGCCUGUGUUUUCCUGAGAGGGUCAUUGUGCAUCAUGGAUGUGUUCCCCAUGACACCACCACACAUUUUGUCUGUUUAUGAGUCAGAUUAUGUGUUGAUUUCCAUAUGUUGAGAUGUUCCUGCUUCUCUGGGAUGAAGCCAAGGUCAGAAUGAACCUAACUACUGUGGUGGCUUGAAUAGAAAUGUCCCCAUAAGCUCACAGUUUUGAAUACCUGGUCCCCAACUGGUGAUGCUGUUUCAUGAAGUUCUGGAGAGCUGCUGCCUUGCUGGAAGAAGUAUAUCACCGAGUGGGCUUUAAGAGUUUCUAGCCUUCUGCAACUUCUUGUUUGCUCUCUUUGCUUUAUGUUUGUGGUUGAAGAAAGAUGUUUUCAUUUCUUGCUUUGGCUGCCUGUUUCCCCCAAACAUCGUGAACUCUUUCCCUGAAACUUUAAGGUAGUUCCUUCUUCAAGUUGUAUUUGGUCAUGGUAUUUUAUCAGAGUAACAGCAAAGUAACUAACACAACUGGUGACAGUACAAAGUAGAAAUGAAAUAUGCGAUGCAAUAAAUAUAAACACACUUGUACAGACAAGGAGUAAAAUGUGAUAAGCACGUAUUUAAUGGUAACCUAAGCAUAGUGCAUGUUUAUACUGUCACACAGUUCAGAGAAAAAAAUGUGGUUGGGGGUGAGAAUAGGGGAAGAUGAAGAGAUGAAGUAAGCAAAUAAGGCUGAACGGUAACAAUAGGGUAAAUUGGAUAAAGGAUAUGAAUGGUCCUUUUCUCACUCUUCUUUUCCUACAUUAUGGAAGUGAAGAAAUCAGUUAUUUAUUAAAAUUGUUCAGAAUUUAAUGGCAAAAAGAACCCAUGAUGGAUGGUGUUGUACAAUAAAAUAUGUACUUAUUUAUUUAUUUUCUCCCCAGAUUUCCUGGUGCAGAACAUCUAAAAACCCGAAGUCCUCUGAGUGGGCAGUCAAACUCCCUGAGAGUGAAGGUGUGGCGGCUGAAGAUCGCAAUGUCCAAUAAGAAUUAUGGACAUCCAGUUUUGUUGGUGCCUUCCUGUUAUUUGGUAAAUACACCAAGUACGGAGAAUUUGAUGUAUGCUGGCUCUCAAGAACAAGCUAAUAAAAUUGGUGUGUUUUGAAACUUU